CCAGGAGACGUUUUGCUUUACUACUAACAUAUAGCGGAGAGGAAUUCAUAUCAUUGACAAAGUUUUGGUCUAAUAGAACAUCUCCUGCACCAUCACCAGCUGAAUUGUAUCGAGCAUGUAGAGCACCUUUAAGAUCAUACUGACGAGUAAUAUUUCGACCAAAGGAAAGAUUCUCCAUAACCAUCAGAUCAUGCCUCAUCUCUUUCCCACUUUUUGCCUGUCUAAUGAUCACCUGAUAAAUCCCAAGCGCUUUAGCUAGACAAGUUUGGUUCUGAAACUCAAAUGACUCAUUCAUGU
rnacentral:misc_RNA from 1 species